rnacentral:rRNA from 1 species
AUUGAACGCUGGCGGCAUGCCUAACACAUUCAAGUCGAGCGAGCGGCGGACGGGUGAGUAAUGUAUGGGGAUCUGCCCAAUCGAGGGGGAUAACUACUGGAAACGGUGGAUAAUACCGCAUACUAUCGGAUGAAGCCAUAGGGGAGUAGCUAGUGGGUGGGGUAAAGGCUCACCUAGGCGACGAUGUCUAGCUGGUCUGAGAGGAUGAUCAGCCACACUGGGACUGAGACACGGCCCAGACUCCUACGGGAGGCAGCAGUGGGGAAUAUUGCACAAUGGGCGCAAGCCUGAUGCAGCCAUGCCGCGUGUAUGAAGAAGGCCUUAGGGUUGUAAAGUACUUUCAGCGGGGAGGCGUUACCCGCAGAAGAAGCACCGGCUAACUCCGUGCCAGCAGCCGCGGUAAUAC